AGAUGGUAAAGUAAUUUAGUUAAGAGGCUUCAUGAGCAAUCUAGGCACAUAACUAGGUUACAAACGAUGACGAGCCAAAAUUUUAAAAAAUAGUUGGUAAUUCUUAUACAACUUUGUCAAUAACGACUGAAAUGUGCUGAUUUUUACAUACAAGAACAGUUAAGGUGGCCUGACUGAAAAAAGAUCCUUUUGCAGUCGACCAGAAGUGCAGCUAGCGAGAAGCCAGAGACCAAAAAUUCAUGAAGAAGGAAGGUGAUGCAGCAAACCAGCUUAAAAAUGCCAUCGCUGUAGCCGACAUAAAUCUCGUGCAGUGGUUCACUUUGCAUUUCUCAAGAUCAUUGCUAAUAAGAACUGUUAUUCCGGCUGAUGCACAGGCAGCAGCAAAUGUAAGAGUAGAAGUGAUCCCAUCACCAAUGACAAAUAGACUGACAAUUGCUGCAUUUCUAUAACUUCUUUUCACCAAAAUUGCAUAUAUAUCGGCAAUAGCAAGUCCGAGGCUCCAUAUGAUCUGUAAACCAACAGCAGCUACAAGGUAGCUGAAAGCAGUGACGGAGGGGAAAUCGGAGGUGGUAACCAUGACACAUAUAGAGAUAACAGCAAACACAAACUGACACAAUCGUAGAAAAAGGCUUCCAAGAGUACCAGGCAUGCCUUGAAAGUCCUUCAUCCUCACCAUCGGUACCGCCAUAGUCAUCGGCGGAGCCUCCACUGGGUGCACCGCCGGUCCACUCAUCAUUUCUCUCUCUGUGUAUCGCUGUCUGCCUUUAAACUUUGGAAUUACAAUUCAAGACAUUUGUGAGAAAUUCAUGAGAGAGAGAACAGAACCCUAAAUGGAAUCGGUAAAGGAAGAAGGAGAGUGGAGCUUUGAAACUCUACUGACGUUUGGCUCCUGUGGAAGGA
rnacentral:misc_RNA from 1 species